UUAUUUUGGCAGAUUAGUGUAUUUGAUUUAGAAUCAUUUUAAGUAAAUUUUUUAUUACAGGUAAUAAUUGAAAAUAUUGGAU
rnacentral:tRNA from 1 species